ACAAAUUCGAUUUUGAAUCUGUCAGAUUAUGAAAAUUCAUAUCCAAAUCUAGACCCGACAAUAAAAAUGAAAGCCCAAACUGAACCCAAACAUUCGAACCCAAAAGUGAUUAUUAUUUUUUUAUCAAAUUUCAAAAUAUAUCACAUUCAAAUCUAAAAUUUUAAAAUACAAUUUAAUUAUGUUAUAUAUUAUAUAAUAUAAAAGUGAUUGGGAUUUUUGUUCAGUUUUGGUUCUGGUUCAAAUUUGGAUUUAGGUUUAGGUUCAGGUUCAAGUUCAGAUCGAGUACCGAUGAAAAUCAUAUCCAAACUUGAAUCCAUCAGAAUUUUUCUUCUUUUUUUACUACCCAUAGUCGAAUCCGUACCCGUUUAUCAUCAUAUAAAUUCAUCCUGCUCAAAUUCGGGUUCAGAUUAUUG
rnacentral:lncRNA from 1 species